UCCUGAAACUAUUAUUCCUUCAAGAGCUCAAAGUCAAAGUACUGAAAAUCCUAUCUAACAUCUCACACACUUAAAUGUCGACAUUCAAAAGCUGUCGUCAGUGAUUCCUUCUCCUCCAUAGUUUUCAUGACAAGGCUCCAACAAAUGGAAAAUUGUAGCAAUCACCCGAGUUAACAUGAACUUGAGUUUCCCCGUUCUUAAUUUUGCUGCAAAACCACAUGAAACAAUUGUGCCAUUUUGAAUUUCGUGUAAUUGGACUUUUAAUGACAAGCUAGGUACAUGAUUACUGCAUAGCAUCUUCUCGUGCCUUAAAGCGAUACUUUUAUAUUCUUAGGACAUCAAGUCUUUCCACCACAGCAAAAAGAAAACAGUUUUAAAGAUUUUGAUCUUGUCCAUAUGCAUUAGUUGCUUAACCCACUAGUGUAUAGAUGGUUACGAUUCGCUUGUGCUGGUACUGGAAUCAAACUAACAUCAAAAGUGCACAGAGUUCACCAGACUUGUUGGUAACUUUCCUUGAGGUAUUAUGGGUUAUGGAGCAAGAGUGGGUAUAUGGAGUCCGGCCACACAUCAAACCUGAUCACUGAAUGACACUGGAGAAGCUAAACGACCUGCUCCUGACCCUAUGUCU